rnacentral:rRNA from 1 species
UACACUCCUACGGGAGGCAGCAGUGGGGAAUAUUGGACAAUGGGCGCAAGCCUGAUCCAGCCAUGCCGCGUGAGUGAUGAAGGCCCUAGGGUUGUAAAGCUCUUUCACCGGUGAAGAUAAUGACGGUAACCGGAGAAGAAGCCCCGGCUAACUUCGUGCCAGCAGCCGCGGUAAUACGAAGGGGGCUAGCGUUGUUCGGAUUUACUGGGCGUAAAGCGCACGUAGGGGGACUAUUAAGUCAGGGGUGAAAUCCCGGGGCUCAACCCCGGAACUGCCUUUGAUGCUAGUAGUCUUGAGUUCGAGAGAGGUGAGUGGAAUUCCGAGGGUAGAGGUGAAAUUCGUAGAUAUUCGGAGGAACACCAGUGGCGAAGGCGGCUCACUGGCUCGAUACUGACGCUGAGGUGCGAAAGCGUGGGGAGCAAACAGGAUUAGAUACCCCAGUAGUCCCA